AUGUACCAUGCAUACAUUCCGCUUCCUCAAAGCCGUCCAUACCCAGCUCACGACUGUUCGUUACGUUCUAUCAGUC
rnacentral:sRNA from 1 species